AGAGUUAAACAGUACGUGAAAUUGUUGAAAGGGAAACGAUUGAAGUCAGUCAUACCAACGGGAAAUCAACCUUUUGAGCUUGGUUUCGUGGGUUUUGAAGAGUUUCAAAGCCUUCGGAUUCGCGAGAUUGGGAUCUCUCGGUGUACUUUCUCGUACGGUUAGUCAACAUCGGUUUUGAAUGUCAUAAAAUGACUGGAGGAAUGUAGCUUCGAUCUCGUAUUGAAGUGUUAUAGCCUUUGGUAGAUGUGAUGUUUGAGACCGAGGAUUGCAACGGAUACCCUUCAGGGCUAUUCGUCUGAUCUCUGAUACGUUGCCCUGAUGUUGAAAGCUUGCUUAUGAUGUUAGGGUAUUACGGUCAAAAGGUUAGAACUCAUUAGAUUCGUUAAGGAUGUUGACGAAAUGGUUUUAAACGACC
rnacentral:rRNA from 1 species